rnacentral:rRNA from 1 species
GACGAACGCUGGCGGCGUGCUUAACACAUGCAAGUCGAACGGUGAAAGCGGAGCUUGCUCCGCUGGAUCAGUGGCGAACGGGUGAGUAACACGUGGGCAACCUGCCCCUCACUUCGGGAUAACUCCGGGAAACCGGGGCUAAUACCGGAUAUGACCUCCUUGGGCAUCCUUGUGGGUGGAAAGUUUUUCGGUGAGGGAUGGGCCCGCGGCCUACCAGCUUGUUGGUGAGGUAGUGGCUCACCAAGGCGACGACGGGUAGCCGGCCUGGGAGGGCGACCGGCCACACUGGGACUGAGACACGGCCCAGACUCCUACGGGAGGCAGCAGUGGGGAAUAUUGCGCAAUGGGCGAAAGCCUGACGCAGCAACGCCGCGUGCGGGAUGACGGCCUUCGGGUUGUAAACCGCUUUCAGCAGGGAAGAAGCCGCAAGGUGACGGUACCUGCAGAAGAAGCACCGGCUAACUACGUGCCAGCCGCCGCAGUAA